UCACUGCGAACCCUUUUUUCGGCAAGGAUUUGUCCUUCCUCCGCCACUGCAAGUCUUCAAUCCCUUAUCCCCUCGAGCGCCAAAUGAAAUCCUUCUUCACCUCAAGCGAGAAGCCUCUGCAAUCGAUGGGUCUCUAACCCUUCUUCCAUUUGACAAUCAACUGGUCUCUACUCUCCGGAACACGGGCCGAGGAGGUGUUCAUCAAGGUAGUAUACUGUGGUAUCUACCACACUGAUCUCCACCAAAUCAGGAGCAACAUCGGCAUGUCCAACUACCCAAUGGUCCCUGGUCACGAAGUUGUUGGUGAGGUGAUGGAGGUUGGUUCCGAUUGACCAAGUUCGGAAUAGGAGAUUGUGUCAGAGUGAGGUUGCAUCCUCGGAUGCUGCGGUCAAUGCUCUCCUUGCAAAUCAAACAUGGAACAAUACUGCAACAAUAUCUGGUCCUACAACGAUGUACACCCAGAUGGCAAAUCCACCCUAGGAGACAAUGCUCUCUCUCGGGAGUAAUCUUCCUUAUUGAUUCAAAAUUCUUUAAUCUCAGCUACAUAUGCAGAGAACUUUCUUCCUUUUGUGAUGGAACUUCUUCUGAUUCAUAUGGGAAGGAUUGUUAUUUUGGGGUUAAAGAAGAAUAUAUAGGAAAAGAUGAGGGUUUAAAAUCUGUAGUAGAAGCAGUUGGCCGCAUUUUAACGAGUAGUCCUUGGGGACCCAUGUUAGAAAAUGCUCUAUCUAUAUUGGAUGAAAAACCUCAGCAAGAAUUUGUCAUUGGAGUCUUGAAGAGGCUAAAGGAUGUCAAUUUAGCCAUUAAUUAUUUCCGAUGGGCAGAAAGAAAAACCUCCAAAGUAAGUUUAGAAGCAUACAAUUUGCUUCUUGGGAUAAUGGCUAGCAGUAAAAACUUUGAUCAUUUGGAGCAAAUUCUGGAGGAAAUGUCCCUGGGUGGAUUUGAGCCUUCAAAUGUCGCUUGUAUUGAGUUAGUUGCUAGCUGUGUCAAGGUCCGGAUGCUGGCAGAAGCUUAUAAUAUCAUUCAAAUGAUGUGGAAGUUAAGAUUCCGUCCUGCAUUUUCAGCUUAUACAACUUUGAUUGGUGCUCUUGCUAAGAUUCAUGAACCUGAUCUUGCUCUUACCCUGUUUCGUCAGAUGCAGGAGUUAGGCUAUGAAGUGAAUGUUCAUUUGUUUACUACUAUUAUCCGUGUAUUUGCCAGGGAAGGCCGACUUGGCAUGGCUCUUUCUUUAUUGGAUGAGAUGAAGAAAGAUUUUUUUGAUGCAGAUAUUGUUCUUUAUAAUGUUUGUAUAGAUUGCUUCGGCAAGUUGGGUAAGAUAGAUAUGGCCUGGAAAUUGUUCCAUGAGAUAAAAGCUCAAGGCCUUGUUCCAGAUGACGUUACGUAUACAAGCAUGAUAGGGGCUUUAUGUAAAGUUAAUAGACUUGCUGAAGCUGUGGAGCUAUUUGAGCAGAUGGAAGUUAAUAGGAAUGUCCCCUGUAAUUAUGCUUAUAGCACCAUGAUCAUGGGCUAUUGUUCUGCUGAAAAUUUUGAGGAGGCUUACAGGUUACUUGAGCGGCAGAAAGAGAAGGGUUGCUUUCCAAGUGUCAUUACAUAUAAUGGCAUCCUUGCUUGCCUUGGGAAGAAGAGGAGAGUGGACGAGGCUUUUAGGAUCUUUGAGAGGAUGAAGAAAGAUGUGCUGCCAAAUCUUAAAACCUAUAAUAUUCUCAUAGACAUGCUUUGCAGAGCAGGGAAUCUUGAGGAUGCUUUAAAGAUUCGCAAUGCCAUGGAAGGGGCUGGUUUAUUUCCUAAUGUAUUCACUUUGAAUAUAAUGGUAGAUAGGCUGUGCAAGGCUAGAAAGCUGGAUGAAGCUUGGAGUAUCUUCAGUAGCAUGGAUCAAUGGGGCUGCACCCCAAACAAAGUUACAUUCUGUUCUUUGAUAGAUGGAUUGGGUAAAAAUGGUAGGGUGGACGAUGCUUACCAAUUGUUUGAAAGAAUGUUGGAUGCAGGUGAGGUCCCAAAUGCUUUUGUUUACACAUCCCUGAUUAGAAACUUCUUCAAGUGUGGCAGGAAGGAAGAUGGCCACAAGAUCUACGAAGACAUGCUCCAUAGAGGCUAUUCUCCCGAUCGGACCCUUCUUAAUACCUACAUGGAUUGUGUUUUAAAAGCUGGUGAAAUUAAAAAAGGAAGGGCCUUGUUUGAGGAAAUUAGGGCCGGGGGUUUCAUUCCUGAUGUAUGGAGCUACUCAAUUCUCAUCCAUGGGCUUGUGAAUUCUGGCCAUGCAUCAGAGACCCAUGAGUUGUUCCAUGCAAUGAAGGAACAAGGUUGUGUUCUUGAUAUUUGUGCUUACAAUGCCAUUAUUCAUGGUUACUGUAAGUCAGGUAAGGUGAACGAAGCCUACCAGCUCCUCCAGGAGAUGAAGGUGGAGGGCCAUGCUCCCACCAUUGUUACAUAUGGUUCAGUAAUUGAUGGGCUUACCAAGAGUGACCGGCUGGAAGAUGCAUACACACUCUUUGAAGAAGCAAAAUCAAAUGGAAUAGAAUUUAACGUAGUUGUCUAUGGCAGUCUUAUAGAUGGGUUUGGAAAGGCAGGUAGAAUUGACGAAGCUUACAGGAUCAUGGAUGAAUUGAUCGAUAAAGGUUUGAAACCUAAUUUAUCCAUAUGGAACUGCUUGCUUGAUGCCUUAGUUAAGGUGGAGGAAAUCAACGAAGCCCUUAUCUACUUCCAGUGGAUGAAAGACGAGAAAUGCUGCCCUAACACUAUCACUUAUAGCAUUCUUAUUAGAGGUCUCUGUCGUAUUCGGAAGUUCAGAAAGGCCUUCAUGUUAUGGCAAGAGAUGCGGAAACAAGGUUUAGAACCUGAUGCAAUCACCUACAGCACCAUGAUCUAUGGGCUUGCAAAGGCAGGUAACAUAGCGGAGGCUAAUCAGUUGUUUGAAAAGUUGAAGUUAGAAGGGAAUGUGCCAGACUCUGCUGCUUGUAAUGCCAUGGUUCAAGGUCUUAGCAAUGCUAAUCGAGCACUUGACGCAUAUAUGAUAUUUGAGGAAACCUUGUUAAAAGGUCACAACCUUUAUGCCAAGACCUGCGUGGUCCUUUUGAAUGCAUUGCAGAAAGCUGAAUGUCUCGAGCAAGCAGAAGUUGUUGGUGCCGUGUUGGAGGAAACAACAAUAUCUCAACCUGCCUCAAGAUCAUUGUAACAGUAGGGGGAGUUGUCCUGAAGUAUAUAUAGUUUUGACUCAAAAUUGAAUAGAGACAGCAUGGAGCUGAGAGGCUGCCAAGGAAUAUGAUACUCAUCUGGACAGUAAGGUCUAAAAAUCAAGUGGUUACUUUCAUUUCUUGGUUGACUUGUGACCUUGAUAAUCUCCAUGCUGGGGCAAUUUAGUUAUAGUACCUCCUCUGGAUUCCAUCUGAUCCAAGCAGUAGCGCAUCAAUUUACCAGCAUGGGCAGACAAGCAUUUGCGUCAGAUCUUAUAGUGGAGGCUACAGAAGGAUCUUCCAUUGAAAACUGCUGGUUGUAUCAAAGAGAUGACAUGUAUUCAUUCAAACAGAAGUUGCAGAAUUACAUCUGAAUUUGGGUUUGGGACACAUCACUUUCCACACUCAUAAGAUUGGAGGUGGUUAGAUAUCUUUCCUGGAUGAUUAAGGGUGUGGAUGACUGAAAAUUGAAGAACUAACCAAACCCGGUUUUUUUUUUUGGGGGGGGGGGGGGUUUGUUUUGGGUCUGGGCUGAGCAACACUAUAAUCCUGACGAUGUUAUGAAAACCCCUAGAGGUUUCUGACAAUUAUCAUGCUGUGGCGUGCUUUCCUUGCCAUGAAGAUAAGUCACUCUUAGUGGAUUACCCAGGAGCAUCAGACAUGAGGCAGAUAUUUAUAUGACCACUGAGGAAUUGUGUGCUAGCUCAUUAAUUUUGUAAUGGCAUUGAUGGAUUUAGCUCUGUCAUCUUCUGUAUCUUAUCCUUUUAUUUGGUCGAGUCUGAUUGUGCUGCAAGACCAUGUGUGGGUGGUCUUUCAGUCGAUUUUGUGCCUUGGAGAUUCUCAACCCUCAUCAGGAAAGCUUGUUUGUGAGGCAAAUAUGGAACAGCUUUUAUAUUGGAGAUCGUUGUAGGUAUCCCUUUAUGGAUUCUUUAUCCGGGAAGGAGAUCUACAUGACUAUGUACAUUGGGCCCUUUCUUUUAUUGAUAUGUUGGGUGGGUUAACUAGUAUUUGAAAUUUUCUUCUGUACUUUCUUGUAUGUGGUUCUGUUGUAUAGUUUAUGCUUGGCAGCUCAUUCUUUUUCUCCAUUCAAUAAAUUGUUGUUUUCAUUAUAAAGAGAGAAUUCAAUCCAGGUCC